rnacentral:tRNA from 1 species
AGUUAAUUAGUUUAAAUAAAACAUAUAUUUUGAAAAUAUAAGAUAUAAAUUAAAUUAAUAUAUUAACUU